AUGGAGUGACAAUUUCAAGGUGGAUGAUUCUGUAAUUUCAGGAUGUAUGUAAAGCAGGCAUUUAACCUGCUUGCUUAGUUCUCUUCAUUGUGCAACCAACAAUAGGCAGGAGAACCAAAAUCAUAUCGGAUCUGCUGAUAUCUGUUUCAAAAGAAUAGAGACAAGCCAGGAUUAAAGUUCACCAAGAUUCCUUAAGACUUGGUAGUGUGGGUGUUAUCGGGCUUUUGGCUCUGAUUCGUCGGUCCUUUUCGCUUUAUUGAUGCAUUGGAAUUGCUGCCCAUGAAAGGUGCUCCAAGUUGGCAAGUUGUGCAGGAUGUUUGCAGGUUAUACAAGGUGUUUUUGUGUUGGGAAGGCUUGUGUGUUGGGAAGGUGUUUGAUCCUACGUGAAGCUGGAUUUGUUUUGGGUUACCCAAUCCAUCUUCUCUGUUUGGGGGUUAUAGUUUUAUAAAGCUCAAAAUUCUGUUAUGGGCAUACAGUACGUUUCUUUAGUAGCCAUUCAUUUUGUAUUGAGUGAUCUCUUCCACAACCUAUGCAAUUAUUACAAGCAUCAACUACUCGAUGGAGGUGCAGGAGAUCAAGUUUUAUCUGCUUUCGUUGAGAUUGUGUUGAUAAUUCUGACAAUGUCCCGACUGUGGAUGGCUACAAAUUUGAGGGGUUAUGUACUGACCAAUAGUGAUGGGGAAAGGUAAAAUGGCUGGAAGCUUUAACUUACUGUGAGACACCUAUUGCAUAAGCUUUUCUCUUAUCAUAAAUAGUAAGGACCUUAGCAUCAAUGAUUAUGUUUAUUAUGACUUUCAUAUAACUUUUCAUUUUUUUUUCUAAGAUGAUGAAACAAGAACACGUAUGAAACAUAACUCAAGACACUCUUUGUGUGGCCAUAAUAUUGCUCUUGCUAAUAAGGCUGUUACA